GACGAACGCUGGCGGCGUGCUUAACACAUGCAAGUCGAACGGAAAGGCCCUGCUUUUGUGGGGUGCUCGAGUGGCGAACGGGUGAGUAACACGUGAGUAACCUGCCCUUGACUUUGGGAUAACUUCAGGAAACUGGGGCUAAUACCGGAUAGGAGCUCCUGCUGCAUGGUGGGGGUUGGAAAGUUUCGGCGGUUGGGGAUGGACUCGCGGCUUGUCAGCUUGUUGGUGGGGUAGUGGCUUACCAAGGCUUUGACGGGUAGCCGGCCUGAGAGGGUGACCGGCGACAUUGGGACUGGGAUACGGCCCAGACUCCUACGGGAGGCAGCAGUGGGGAAUGUUGUACAAUGGGCGGAAGCCUGAUGCAGCAACGCCGCGUGCGGGAUGACGGCCUUCGGGUUGUAAUCCGCUUUCGCCUGUGACGAAGCGUGAGUGACGGUAAUGGGUAAAGAAGCACCGGCUAACUACGUG
rnacentral:rRNA from 1 species